UGAAAAUACGAGCAAUUCGCACCUGCAAACAGAAAGCAUCAUCAUUUGAUCAUCACAUGUACAUAUCUCUUGUAACAUAGACCUUUUCUAAUCUCCCUUUCAAAUACAUUUCACAUCAUGUCCAAGUUAAUAUUUUAGGUUUAAGCUAAAUUCAGAUGAUCGGUUCAAAGUUUCAACUGGCUAAAUUCACAUUUUGAACGCAAUAACACAGAUUCAUCUGGCACAUUACUAA